GACGAACGCUGGCGGCGUGCCUAAUACAUGCAAGUAGAACGCACAGUUUAUACCGUAGCUUGCUACACCAUAGACUGUGAGUUGCGAACGGGUGAGUAACGCGUAGGUAACCUGCCUGGUAGCGGGGGAUAACUAUUGGAAACGAUAGCUAAUACCGCAUAAUAUUAAUUAUUGCAUGAUAAUUAAUUGAAAGGUGCAAUUGCACCACUACCAGAUGGACCUGCGUUGUAUUAGCUAGUAGGUGAGGUAACGGCUCACCUAGGCGACGAUACAUAGCCGACCUGAGAGGGUGGUCGGCCACACUGGGACUGGGACACGGCCCAGACCCCUACGGGAGGCAGCAGUAGGGAAUCUUCGGCAAUGGAAGGAAGUCUGACCGAGCAACGCCGCGGGAGGGAAGAAGGGUGUCGGAUCGUAAAGAUCUGUUGUAAGGGAAGAACGGGUGUGAGAGUGGAAAGUUCACACUGUGACGGUAGCUUACCAGAAAGGGACGGCUAACUACGUG
rnacentral:rRNA from 1 species